AGUGAACGCUGGCGGUAGGCCUAACACAUGCCAGUCGAACGGCAGCACAGUAAGAGCUUGCUCUUACGGGUGGCGAGUGGCGGACGGGUGAGGAAUACAUCGGAAUCUACUUUUUCGUGGGGGAUAACGUAGGGAAACUUACGCUAAUACCGCAUACGACCUACGGGUGAAAGCAGGGGAUCUUCGGACCUUGCGCGAUUGAAUGAGCCGAUGUCGGAUUAGCUAGUUGGCGGGGUAAAGGCCCACCAAGGCGACGAUCCGUAGCUGGUCCGAGAGGAUGAUCAGCCACACUGGAACUGAGACACGGUCCAGACUCCUACGGGAGGCAGCAGUGGGGAAUAUUGGACAAUGGGCGCAAGCCUGAUCCAGCCAUACCGCGUGGGUGAAGAAGGCCUUCGGGUUGUAAAGCCCUUUUGUUGGGAAAGAAAAGCAGCAGGUUAAUACCCCGCUGUCCUGACGGUACCCAAAGAAUAAGCACCGGCUAACUUCGUG
rnacentral:rRNA from 1 species